AAACAGGAUUUAAGUGCAGUAUAGCUGCUAAGUGCUCUAAGUGUCGUUUCCCUGCUCAAAACAACUUUCUUUCUUUACUAUACCUGUCUGCUAGACAACUGUAGCAGCCAGGGACACUUGGUCCCAUACAU
ensembl:snoRNA SNORA63 Small nucleolar RNA SNORA63